rnacentral:rRNA from 1 species
UACGUAGGUCGCAAGCGUUGUCCGGAUUUACUGGGCGUAAAGAGCGCGCAGGCGGCUGGUCAAGUCCGAUGUGAAAUCUCCCGGCUCAACUGGGAAACUGCAUCGGAAACUGAUCGGCUUGAAGAUGGGAGAGGGUAGUGGAAUUCCCGGUGUAGUGGUGAAAUGCGUAGAUAUCAGGAGGAACACCCGUGGCGAAGGCGGCUCCCUGGUCCGUUACUGACGCUGAGACGCGAAAGCGUGGGGAGCAAACAGG